AUGGCGGAAUGUUUCAAUAGGGUGCUCAAAGGUGCACGUGGAUUACCCGUGACGGCAAUAGUUCAAUACACAUUUGACAAGAUGAAUGCGUACUUUGUAAAGUACUCGAUGGAAACCGAUGCACAAAUAGCGGGUGAGAACCCACGGAAGUACAAGUACAAGUUCCCACCCAAAGUUGAUGAAUGGUUGGUAUUUCAAUCACGGAAGGCGGACUCAGAAGAAGCUAUACUAUAUGACAACGAAGAGUGGAAGUACGAAGUGAAAGAGCCAGGAGGAACCACAAACGAUGGCCGGAAACAUGGAGGUCGGGCUUUCAAGGUGUCGUUAACACAAUGUGAUUCCACUUGCGGGAGGCCGUUGUUGCUUCAUCUCCCACGCUCACACUUGUAUACCGCCGGUCGCGUUAGGAAUGUGGACAUCAAUCACCCACGCACCGUGAGGGAGUCUGAGUUCUCACUCAUGACGGUCAAGAAAACAUGGGCUCCCCACUUUCACCCGUACUUUGACCAAUCGCAAUGGCCGGAGUAUCAUGGAGUUCAACUAUGGCCGGAUCCG
rnacentral:rRNA from 1 species